rnacentral:sRNA from 1 species
GUAAUUUUAUAUUUGUUAGAAAUAAUUUUUUAGCUACCGAUUCAACCGCGAAAGGUAGAUUAUGGUUCGUUACAUAUAUAUUGAACCAAAUCGACGGAAUACUUGGUCCGUCGAAAAAGUUAAUUGGUUUUAAGAAUAUUGGGGUCACAUACAAAAUAAAACUGGGAUUUUUGGUAUAUGUAUAAAUUCAUUUUUCUAAUUUAAUAUUUACAUUAAAUUUAGACAUUUUAAAU